CGCCUCUUUAUCAAAAACAUCGCCUCCUGCAACUAUAUUAAGUAUAGGAGGUCCAGCCUGCCCAGUGACUACGGGUUCAACGGCCGCGGUAUUUUGACCGUGCAAAGGUAGCGCAAUCACUUGUCUUUUAAAUAGAGACCUGUAUGAAUGGCUAAACGAGGGCUUAACUGUCUCCCCCUUCUGGUCAGUGAAAUUGAUCUAUCCGUGCAGAAGCGGGUAUAAUUAUACAAGACGAGAAGACCCUUUGGAGCUUAAGGUACAAAAUUCAACCACGUUAAACAACUCAACAAAAAGCAAGAACUUAGUGGAAAAUGAAAUUUUACCUUCGGUUGGGGCGACCGCGGAGGAAAACCCAGCCUCCGAGUGGAAUGGGCCAAACCCCCUAAAACCAAGAGAGACAUCUCUAAGCCACAGAACAUCUGACCAAAAAUGAUCCGGCUUUAAUAGCCGAUCAACGAACCAAGUUACCCUAGGGAUAACAGCGCAAUCCUCUCCCAGAGUCCAUAUCGACGAGGGGGUUUACGACCUCGAUGUUGGAUCAGGACAUCCUAAUGGUGCAGCCGCUAUUAAGGGUUCGUUUGUUCAACGAUUAAAGUCCUACGUGAUCUGAGUUCAGACCGG
rnacentral:rRNA from 1 species